CUCAGAGGUCCCUGCAGGCUGGGGUACAUAUAGAGCACAGUGUACCUAAUGCUGUACUUCAGAAUCAUGGCUGGCUGGGGACUGUGUUUAGGAGCAGAAGACAACCUCGAGAUUUUUUAAUGACAGAGAGACUGAGUCAGACAGAGUGGCCCGUUGAGCCCCAAGCUUCUGUGCCAUUUGUCCAUUUCCACCUUCCUUUCCUCAGUUCUUACAGAACUGAGCAGGCAUUUGUCAACUGGCUUCACUCUGAUCUCCCCCGCACCACUGGGAAGUGUGUACAGCUGACACAGUCAGUAGUCUUGGGAGUUUGGGGUUGUGGUGGUUUUUCUGUUUAGCAUUGGAAAUCAAAAGUGAGAGCCACAGAGGCGGCCAUUUUAGGUUGUGCAGCCUCCGGAAAUAAACAGGAGCACCAGCCCGAUGGAUCCGAAAUGCAAUG
rnacentral:lncRNA from 1 species